CUCCAACCCUCUACUGACCUCAGAGUCUCCAGUUUACAGUGUGGACUCUCCUUCAGAUCACACAGCAGCUUCACAUCUGAAUCCUGCAGGUUGUUGUUACUCAGGUCCAGCUCUCUCAGAUGGGAGGGGUUGGACUUCAGAGCUGAGGCCAGUGAAACACAGCUGAUCUCUGACAAACUGCAGCUCCUCAGUCUGAAUAAAGAAUAAAUGAUGUAGAUAAAAAUCAUUAAUAAUACAAUCAGAUGUGUUCAGGUGUUAAAUGUGUAGCUCAACAUUACUAUGUCCUGAUCAAUGAGCUUUGCCCUAAACUGAGUAGAGUGACUUUGUCAUUGUGUUAUUGUGCUGAUCCCAACAGGAUGCAGGUUAAAGAC